UUUUCCCUUCCCUUCCCUGAAAUGCUCUCAGACAGCAACUGCACAAGCCCUCCCAGCUCUCUGCAGAAUUCUGUCUGGCAGAUUUCUGUGCUACACCCUGCUCAUAGUGGAUGCCUGACAACUAUUUAAGGUGACCAGACACAAUGACAGCACUACUAGAAGAAAUAGCUGCUGUAAACAGGUGAGAGACUAUAACCCUCCCUGCCACGUGUCUUUCUAUACAGUCCAGGCCUCUUCUUCACAUGCCAUUAGAUAAUAACAGUUGCUUUCCAUAUGGAAGAAGCUUUCUCCUGCAGGCCUCUGGGAAGCAUCCAGAUGUCCUAUUAAAAUGCAGAUUUUUCUCAUACCUUUGGGGUUUGAAAUAGCCAUCACCACCCUUAGCCCUACUGUGUGGUAUGGCUUCCUUCCGUUGCUUUUGCACACUUGGAGGUAAAUGGAUGUAACUGUGUAGUUUUAAAGCAUCAUCCUUCAGCACCUUAUUUAUUUAUUUAUUUAUCCCCUCCCUACCCCAUGUAUUAGGUGCUAACUCGAGGGUUUCUUUUUCUUCCUUCAGAACUUGCUCUGGAAAAGGACCAGAACUCUUUCAUCCUAAGAACUUCAGAUUGAAAAUCUCCAACAAGUUCCUGCAUUUUAGAGAAAGCUCAAUGAGCAAAGCUUUUGAAGGUAGAGGCUGCUUUUUGGUGGUAGUGAUGGUGCAGGAGGCUUCUGGAUACUGGCUUUCUGGUCAUCUUGGUACCUUACUGGAGUAUCCUGUCAGCUUAUCUCAUGCAUUCAGCCUGUCUGGGACUCAGAUGUGUGGGCUCAGGGUAUGGAUGAUCCUUAGACAUAAGCAUUCAAGGAGAGCAAAACCUCAACUCUAUUCUAGUAGCCAAAGCAUUUUAUUUUAUAAUCUCAUGUUUUUCUUUCCACAUGUCAACCAGUGCAUCUGGCAGAGUCAGCAAGAGCCUUAAAUUUGGCAACACCUUAAGUAUGAACAAGAAUUCUCAGGCUUGACUCUGCUUUUGCAAGUGUUCUAAAACAGAAGAAAGGGUCAUAAACUUACGUGAAAUCAUACACUAAGAACCUAAAGAAAAGAAAAGAUUGUUCAAAUCAAACACUGUAAGACCAGAAGAAUUUUUAUGUGUGAGUUACUUUUAUUUUUAGAAAUAGAAUAUAAUAGAUAACUAACAGAAAGACCAUGCCAAACAUUCUGCAA
rnacentral:lncRNA from 1 species